rnacentral:rRNA from 1 species
CGGCUCAGUAACACGUGGACAACCUACCCUAUGGAGGGGGGAUAACCCCGGGAAACUGGGGAUAAUACCCCAUAGACUAUAGAUGCUGGAAUGCUUUGUAGUUGAAAGGUCCGCCGCCAUAGGAUGGGUCUGCGGCCGAUUAGGUUGUUGUUGGGGUAACGGCCCAACAAGCCUGUAAUCGGUACGGGUUGUGGGAGCAAGAGCCCGGAGAUGGAUUCUGAGACACGAAUCCAGGCCCUACGGGGCGCAGCAGGCGCGAAAACUUUACAAUGCGGGAAACCGUGAUAAGGGAGCUCCGAGUGCCCGUAAAAUCGGGCUGUCCAUCUGUUUAAAUAACAGGUGAAGAAAGGGCCGGGCAAGACCGGUGCCAGCCGCCGCGGUAAUACCGGCGGCUCGAGUGGUGGCCACUAUUACUGGGCUUAAAGCGUUCGUAGCUGGUCUGUUAAGUCUCUGGGGAAAUCUACUGGCUUAACCAAUAGGCGUCUCAGGGAUACUGGCAGACUAGGGACCGGGAGAGGUGAGAGGUACUCCAGGGGUAGGAGUGAAAUCCUGUAAUCCUUGGGGGACCACCAGUGGCGAAGGCGUCUCACCAGAACGGCUCCGACAGU